rnacentral:rRNA from 1 species
AUGUUUUUGCAGUUCAGAGACAGAGGUAGUAGCUUAUAUUUUGGGUUAUAUGUAGAAGCUCCAUGCAAAUUUACAGCUUGGUACAUGACAAAAGAUGGUGAAAAGUUAUCCAAGAUGCUGGGACAUAUCUUGACCUCACAAAAAUCUCUGGAAGUAAUGCUUCUUGGAGAUGAUAUUUGCUUCCGACAACUUGCCAAAAGAAGUAUCAAGUUGUAUAAUGGUGGAGCCAUUGUUUAUAAGGCGGUAAAGCGACCUAAGGCGAGCAUCACCGCUCUGACGCCGAAGCGGCCCCUAAGCGCCUAA